UGUGAUUCCAUUUCACGUAGUUGAGUUUUGUUUUUCUGUGCUACUGUGUGGCUCGGUGGCAUGAAAGUGGCAUCCGCUGACAUCCACUAUCAACCUAUCUUGGGUCCUUUGUGUACGAAACCUGUGUGCGUUUUUAUGAUAUAACCACACACACACACACACACGCACACACAUACACACAUA